GAUGAACGCUAGCGGGAGGCUUAAUACAUGCAAGUCGAACGGUAAGGUCAACUUCGGUUGAUACACGAGUGGCGCACGGGUGAGUAACGCGUACACUACCUACCUUAUAGAGGAGGAUAGCCCUGGGAAACUGGGAUUAAUACUCCAUAGUAUUGCUGAUUUAUAUUGGUGAUUAAAGGUUUUGGCCGCUAUAAGAUGGGUGUGCGUACUAUUAGAUAGUUGGUGAGGUAACGGCUCACCAAGUCGACGAUAGUUAGGGGGCGUGAGAGCGUGAUCCCCCACACGGGUACUGAGACACGGACCCGACUCCUACGGGAGGCAGCAGUAAGGAAUAUUGGACAAUGGGGGCAACCCUGAUCCAGCCAUCCCGCGUGCAGGAAGACGGCCCUAUGGGUUGUAAACUGCUUUUAUAUGGGAAGAAAUUAAUCUAUUUAUGGGUUAUUGACGGUACCAUAAGAAUAAGCACCGGCUAACUCCG
rnacentral:rRNA from 1 species